UUGUUGUUGUUGUUGUUGUUGUUGUCAUCGUUGUUUUUUCCCCUUAGGAGAAGGCUGGUGUUUCUGUUCCCUGGAACAUUGAAAAACCCAGUAUCAGCUGAAGGAGGAGAACAGGGAAUGGGAAUUCAUUGAAGGACAGGAAGUGAUGCGAUGAGGUCCAACAGCAGAGAUGAAGAAGGAGUAGAGAGAAAGAAGGAUUUAGAGAAGAGAACUGCCCCUGAGGGACAUUUAUCAUUUUGGCACCUGGACACAGAGACCUCAGUUACCAGGUCAAGUAGUGUGGAGCACAUGCAUCAAAGAAUCACAGGUAAGGAACUCCCCCUUAUCAGGAAGGAAGGAAUUAGAAAUAAAACAUGGGGAAAUCUGUCUAUUUUUUAUAUAUGACCAGCAGCUUUUUGCUGAGGUCCUCACUAAUAUAUUAGGUGUUUGUAGAGUUAGGAUUUCUCAGACUUGCAUACAGAAAUUUUUACAGCAUACAUUUACACAUUGGGGAUUAACUUGUGAAUCACUCAAUCUGGCACGAUGCCAUGUGAGAGAUCAAAGUUAAAUUCAGAGUCUCAUAAACCUAAGAAGUAUAAUGAGAAUUUAACUUCUGACGAGGGCUCUCAGAGCUUUAACUUAGAUGGACCCAGAGAUAUCAACCUGUGCUAUGGACACUAAUGGCUGAAACUUUCCUCUUACUCCUGGAUCAAAGGACAGGAAUGAAAACAGGUAACAGAAGCCAUCUUUUUUCCUCCUUGUCACCAGUAUAUAGUAUUGAUUUUAAGAGGGAAGGGAAGGUUGAUGGUUUUUUUUAAUAGUGUUUGAGUGGGGAGUGGACUCAAGAUGUUGAUUUAGAAGCAGCAAAAAUUGAUUCCUCUGUGAAAACCCUUCCAUACUAGUCAAAAACAAAGCAUUUCAAUGGGGACAGAAAACUAAAAUCAACAACAAGACAGAGCCACAGGUCUCUCCUACUUAAUUCACCCUGAAAGGUAUACAGAUAAAAUGAACUCUCAAGUAUAAGUGAAAGAUCCAACACCGUUCCCCCACUUAUUGCACUGAGAUUCACUGAAACCCACAGUAGGAAUCAAGCUGACUGGAAUCCUGGGGUGAAGGCUGCAGUUGUGACAGAGUACCACCAGGGGAAGGGAAGCUCAGGGCUCUGACUAGGCAGAUGGCAGGGAGGAGGCUGGCAGAAAGUAGUGGAGAGGAGGACUGAGGGUAACUAUCUUCAGCCUCCACAUCUUCAUUUUUACCUUCAGCCUUUUCUGGCAGCUGAGGAAGAUCUAGCCUCAGGGCACUUCAGUACAAUAGGUCAGCUCUUUCAACCUAAUUCAGUUAAACAGCAGAGAAGGGAAGUCCCUUCAGGACAGAAUAGUUCAAACUCAAAGAUUCAGCAAAUAAACAGAGAAGCAAGAAUACAGCCAAUAAGGAGGGGGAAAGAAGGAAAAAAAUAUGAGUAAACAACAGAAAAAGAAAAAAAAAUUAUAAUCAACAGUUUCUAUCCAGGUAAUGAACAAAGAAAAAUGGAACAGAGGAGAUCCAAGGAAUACCAAGCAAAAACUCAGGAACUCCAGAAAAUUGGACUCAGGUUCUAGAAGAACUCAAAAUAUAAUUUAAAAAAAACAGUUAAGAGAAGUUGGAGAAAAUUGGGGGAAAAUAAAAAAGCAAAAUAGGUCAUCUGGAAACAGAGGCACAUGAACUAAAACAAGAAAAUGAUGUCUUAAAAGCCAGAAUUGACUAUCUCAAACACAAGGCAAAGAAAGUAAAAAAUAAAAACAAUGAUGUUUUUCUUGGAGGAAGGUUGUUGUUCCUGGGCACAAUUUGCCAUCAUUGUGGAGGUUUUUCCUUCCCUUUUUAAUCAGAAAUCUGAGUGAGAUGGGCACACUCUCUGUAUAUAGAGUUAAGGAGCAAGACUUUUGCCUCAGGGAAGCUCUCAAAUCUCUGAAGCUUCUGUUGUUUGCUGCCCUUCUCUGUGCUAUCUUCCCAUGAGUACCCACAGUCUGAACUCUUCAGUCUGCUGGGGUUUCAGGUGUAGUUGCUCUCAGGGGUAGGUCUUUGAUGGUCUUAGUCAGCACCCAAGGACCUAUAGUUUCCCCUUACUCACUCUAGAGGCCCCCUCACUCUCUGAUUCUGGCGCAUGCUUGCUCUGACUCUGGUUCCAUAGGUAGGGGAGAGUAGAUCAGCUUGUGUUUUGUUGGAAGCUUUUUCACCCCCUUUUGGUGUGGAAAUGCCCAAAUCCCACGUACCUUCAAUGCUGCACCCUACUGUAGAUUCCCUUCAUUCUUAUGAAUUUGCUUGAUUUGGUCCUUUGAGGUUGUCUAUAUCAGUGGGUACUGAGGAGAGGAAGAAUCUUGCAUCUAUACUGCCACCAUGUUUACCUGGAAGUCCUGUGCCAAAAUUUUAACCAGAAGUCUUACCAGAAAAAAUCUGAAAAUUCUUUCCCCUUUCUUUUGCUAGAGAAUAUCUCAAUAAUAUGGGCAGUUUUACUUUUGUGUAAUGGUGAAGAAACUACUACAGCUGAAAAUAAGUAAUGUUGAAUCCCUUAUUGGAAGAAACAGAAGAGUACCAAAUCAAUUCAUGACACCUGCUUUCUGUAGGAGACAUUAAAAUUAAAAUAACUCUACUAGAACCAUUGUAUAGUGAAAAACAAUGAGAACUUACCUAAAGAUACUUGUGAGAAGUUACAAGGAAUAGCAAAAAGACUCACAACACCAGACACUCUAGAAGAGGGUUUAAAAGGAUGCAUCCCUUGGUAGGAACCUCAGCAGUGGUAAAAGCUCCAAUCCAGGACUAAAAGUUACUAAGAUACCAACUUUUCUGACCCACUGAAGUAAGGCUGUGUUUCCUUCUAUGUUUGUGCACUGGCCAGUAUCACACACACACACACACACACACACACACACACACACACACACACACACACACACACACGGCAUCCGACUGGACUGCUUCUUCCUUAAUUAUUCUUAGAUGCAUUUGUAGGUUCCCAUGCUCGUUUAUCCCUAUUCUGAACACCCAGCUAGAAGUUUUAGAUUUGCUUGAGGUUUUAUUCAGGUACCAUCUGAAGCUUAAGAAGCAUUUUCUUUCCACCUGGUUUUAUUCCAUUCUACUUUGUAUUCACUUAAUAUAUUUUUCAUAUAUUUCAGUAGAAUGUUAGUUGCUGAAAAACCAGGACUUUAAAAUUUUUUUUCAAUGUCUACCUUAAUCUCUUACAUAACAUUGGUCUUAAAAAAUGCUUAAGAAGCUGUUGAAUUGAAAGGUGAGUUUGCUUUUCCUUUUAUUAAUUUAUUAUUUUUCAAAUUCAUAUUUUUCAGCUUCAUGCUCAAGCUGGAAAACAGGAAAGGUCAUCGAUUUCAUAUAAUUGGUCUUAAGCAUAAUGUAGAUAAUUGUCCUGCUUGUCUUCCAUCCCUCCCAUGGAACCCUUGGAAAGUCAAAGCAACUAGACUUCAAAAGUUUUCCAAAUUUCCUUUAGUCUGUGGGGGGAGCAAAGAAGUCUAUGUAGGCUGCUGGGAGAUAUCCCUCCAAGGUGAAUUCAAGCUGACUUUUAUCAUUACUGGGGAAAAGAUCAAAUGAAAGUUUCAUAUCUGUUCUAAACUAUAGUAGGGUCAGAUACUAGCUUAGUAAUAAUAAAAACAAAAACAAAAAAAUGUAAUUGAAUAACCAUACCAAAAAUUGCAUCUGUGUGGAGGGACAAUGCUUAAUUAAGAUGAAUAGGCUUCAUUCUGAGGGCAGAGACUAUUCAAGGUCCAAACAAGCAGAGAUUAGCCAAGAGAUAGCUCAAUUCAAAGGCAGUGUGCUGAGGAGUGUCAAACAGCCAGGACAUUAUUCCAGUUGUUCAAAAUGCUGACAUAACAGUUAUCUUCUCAGUCAGGGAAUGCAGAAUUCUCUUUGCAUUCUCUCUUUUUUCCUACCUAAUGGUGCUUGGAUUUUUUAAUCUCAAAUUCAUUUCCUUAUUUCUUCUGAAUGAAGGGUGGAAAUGUUAGAGCUGAUACCAUGACUCUAAGUCAGAUUAGAAGAUACUACUUCAAAGCUUUCAAAACUAAAUAACUUGUGCAACUUCUCUCAGUUGUGUUGUUUCUGUUAUCAUUGGUGCUUUUCUGUAUCUCACUUUGGAUUCAUUUCCCCUACUGGUUAUGAGCACAGGAAAGAAAAGCAUAACGCUCUCAGCUCAAUGGCUCACUCCCACCUGGCCAAGGAUGAAACAAAGGAGUCACCUAAAUCUGAUACCCAACUGCUAUAUGGUUCCAAUUUUCUAAUGUCAUUUUUUCUUCUGCUUCAUUAGCCUCUAACAACUAAGAUCCACUUUGUCCUUCCUCUUAUCUUCUGUGGCUUGACAAUGACAGGUCAGUCAGUCAACUGGCAUUUAUGUGCUAGGCACUAUGCCAAACUGGUGAUAAAAAGAAAAAAAAUUCCUGCACCCAAGAAUCUCACAGUCUAAUGGGGGAGAUAUCAUUACAUCAACUAUAGACAAACAGGAUAAAUAAUAAUCAACAAAGGGAAGGCACUAAGGUCAAAGAAGACUUCAAAUGGCCUUUGGCAGAAGGUGGGAGUUUUUAAAUAAGCCUUGAAAGAAUUCAAGGAAGUCAGGUAUUGGAAAUGAGGAGGGAGAGUUUUGCAGGAAUAGGGAAGAGCUAGUGAAAACAUUUUGUCUCUGGGACAGUAAGAGGGUCAGGGUCAUUAUAUUGCAGAGUAUAAAGAGAAGAGUAAGAUGAAAGAAGACUGGAAAGGUAGGAAGGAAUCUGGUUAUGAAGGAUUUAUAAAGAUAAAUAUAGGAUUUUGUAUUUGGUCCUGGGGAUAAGAAGGAACCAUGGGAGUUUAUUGAACUGAGGGAGGGGGAGAGAUAUGGUCUGAUCUUCAUUUUAGGGAGCUCAGUUUGACAGCUGAAUAGAGAAUGGACUGGAGAAGGGAGAAGCUUGAGGCAGAGAGAACUAUUGGGAUUUACACUCAUUUGCAUUCCCCACCCACUCCCCAUCAAAAAUACAUAUUUAUUUCCCUCUGACUUUCUUGUUUGAUUCUUAUUGUUGUUUUUCCUAUUCUAGGACCAUUUAACUUGCUGUGCUGGUGACAAGCCAGGAGCAAUUUUUUUCAGCAUCUCUGUGAAAGGAUCUUCCUGCCUCCUUAUGAAUGCUUAGCAAUGCCUUUAAUGACUCUAUGACAUUUUUUCCUCAAAAGUCCCCAAAUUUAUACUGUUCACAUUGGGUAUUGUUUUGUAUUGGAUUGUGAUGCUGUCUAUAGAGUGAAUUCCUUCUACCAAUAGAAAUUGGUAUGUUUUUCUAAAUAUGUAUAGGAUUCUGAGGGGUUAAAUUGACUUACUCAUGGUCACAGUCAUAGAGGAAAUUUGAACUUGAAUCUUUCUAAAUUCUGAUGGCAUAUUUCUAGCAAGCAUACCAUCAUACAUUUACCUCAGGAUUCAUGUACAUUUGCCCCUUCUGUUUCGUGCUAUCUGGGAGUUUCCUGAGUAAUUUUCUUCUUUCCAUCUGAAUAUUUAACAAUAUAAAUAUAGAUGACUGAAGAGUUGUGCCCCAAAACAAGAAAUGUCCACCUAAUCAUGGCAUCUCCAAACUGAGACUCACUCCUGCUUAACUCCUGAUUCCACUUAUGCUAUUGACUUUUGAUGAAGCCUUGAGUAAUUCAAUUAAACUCUGUUAAAUGCUUCAUUUCCCUAUUCAUAUGGUAAUAAUUGUGACAAAAUAAAUAACUACCUCCAAGUGUGCUAGGGAAAAGAAGCAGGAUUGACAGUACUGUCCAUUAAUAGAUGAGGUCAGAUCUUAUUUGACAAUCUUCAUUUCUCUCCUGAUGCUGGGGCCUUGAAAUUAUUUUAGGAGGGGAAAGCUUGAUGACUCUGUGGAUUGAGAGUCAAGCCUAGAGAUAUAGGAAGUCCUAGAUAUAAAUCUGACUUAGCUUUACAUAAUGCUGGGCAAAUCAUUUAGCCCCUAUUGCCUAGCCCUUAUCACUCUUCUGCCUUGGAAAGAAAGGAAAGAGAGAGAGACAAACAGACAGACAGACAGACAGAAACAGAGACAGACAGAGACAGAGAGACAGAGAGAGACAGAAAGAGGGAAGGAUGGAAGGAAGGAAAGAAGGAAGGAAGGAAGGAAGGAAGGAAGGAAGGAAGGAAGGAAGGAAGGAAGGAAGGAAAGAAAGAAAGAAAGAAGGAAAAAUAUAUAGAGAAAAACAAAGAAAUAAUUGUAGUUUUAGAGCCAAGAACUGAAAGCAACCCUCUUGAGGAUUAUUCAACCCAGGUUAAGCGGCCCACUGGAUCCAUUAGAAUCUAAGGCAAAACCGGUCUUCCUAACUGCAAACUGUUUUAACACAAUAUUGUCCGUCCCAUGGUGGAGCUUCUUGAGCAAUGGGGCAUCGUUUUCCAGCCUAAAAAGCCUCAGAAAAAUUGUUUUAGUUGAUGUAUGGAGGACCCAUUAGAAAUGGAGGGCAUGAAAGGAAGAUCACUUAGAAAGCUAUUGUAAUAGGCCAAAGAAGAGGUGAUGAGGAAUGAGGAAGGUAUAGUGGUAAAGGAAGAAUUCCUAUAGAUAUUGUAAGAUAUAAUCUGGAUAAAACUAGACAAAUGAGGCAAUGAGAUUUCCUACAAAACUAUUAGUUAAUGUCAUUGCUUGUGUCUUUUAAUUAAAAACAUCACAGAAAAAAAAUACCUAAAAGAGUUUCUUGUUGUUUCUGUUAUUGUUGUAAUCAUUUAAUUGAAAGACAAUACAUAUAAGGAAGGUUGGAUUUGACAAAAGAGUGUCAAACCUAGAGUCAGGAGGACCUAAGUUCAAAUCUCAACUCAAGGCAUUUACUAGCAGUGUUUCCCUGGGUAAGUCACUUAAACCUGUUUGCCUUAGUUUGUUCAUCUGUGAGAUGAGCUGAAGAAAGAAAUGGCAAGACACUGGUAUCUUUGAUAAGAAAUCCCAAGAAAUGCCCCAAAUAGGCACAUCUGAAAAUGACUAAGAAACAAUAUAUCCAUUAUGUCUACAUCUCUUCUACUGAGAGGAAUAUGGGCCAGAAUUGAUUCUGGAAUUCUUUUUUGCAGAGUCUGACCCCAUUUUUGUUUCUCUUCUCUUCCUCCAGUUGAGUUUUAUAGUUUAGAAUAAUGAAUCAAAAAAUUAAUUUAUCCAAGUUCUGAGAAAACCUCAUUUAAAGUAGGCAUCUGACUCUAGGCUCUAGUUACUCUCAUUCCACUCUUCCUCCUUUAUGAAGGCUUAGCACCUGACUCAUCAUCUUCACCCCACCUCUGCCAUCAUAUUGAAGGACUUCAGUAUAUUUUGAUGUUCCCUAUUAAACAGUUUAUAACAAUCCUUAACUCCCAAAAUCUGAGUUUCACUCCACCUCAGUCAAACAUAAAGAUGAUCAAACUCUUGUUUUCAUGGUCCCUAUGAACCCAUCUUUGAUUGGUUCUAUGAAUCUAUGAUUCAUACCUUUAAAAUUCUCCUUUCUGACCAUAACCUUUCUUCAUUCCAUCUCUUCUCAGUGUUUCAUUUCCCUCAAAAUUGUACGAUUCUUGUGGGACUCUCUAGUCAAUCCAUUUUCUUGCUUUUUCAUUCUAUUACCUCUAUUUUCAUCUCAUUUUUCUCCCCUUGAAAUCUGGGCCUUGUUGAAAACUAGUUGAACUUUCUAUUGUUCUCUACUCAUGACUACUGUCAUACCUUGUUAAACAUCAAUCAUAGAUUACUCAAUAUCACAGAAUAAUGUCCAACCUAUACUAGAAAACAGUAACAUUACUAAAACACAUCAACAACGGUGUCAGCCUCUUCCUGAAGAUUUUUAGUAAAGGAAAACACUCCUAUUUAUAUUCUCCUGAAUACCACCAAAGGUACUGACCCAGAAGAUUCUACUCCAUUGAUGUUCACUCCAUCCAUUUAUAUCAUUCUAUGAAGAUCCUGCUUGCUGUUAACUUCCAGACAUCUUCUUGUUCUUAGAUAUUUGUCAAGGAUUUCAGCACUCCUUUUUCUCACUGUCUUUUUUCUCACUUCAAACCAUGUUCUCAGACUUGGGAACGUCACUAUAUAACUUAUCACUGCAGAUACCCUUUGUCUCCCAGGUCAAUCUCCUUAACUCCUGUAGUAUCUAAAUCUUCACUUCAGAAAAAGCACCCCAGAGGAGGAGGGGGGGGAGUAUAAAA